AUUGAACGCUGGCGGCAUGCCUUACACAUGCAAGUCGAACGGCAGCACGGGAGCAAUCCUGGUGGCGAGUGGCGAACGGGUGAGUAAUAUAUCGGAACGUGCCCAGUCGUGGGGAUAACGUAGCGAAAGCUACGCUAAUACCGCAUACGAUCUAUGGAUGAAAGCGGGGGAUCGCAAGACCUCGCGCGAUUGGAGCGGCCGAUAUCAGAUUAGGUAGUUGGUGAGGUAAAGGGCUCACCAAGCCGACGAUCUGUAGCUGGUCUGAGAGGACGACCAGCCACACUGGGACUGAGACACGGCCCAGACUCCUACGGGAGGCAGCAGUGGGGAAUUUUUGGGACAAUGGGCGCAAGCCUGAUCCAGCAAUGCCGCGUGCAGGAAGAAGCAUCUAUGGUGUGUAAACUGCUUUUGUUACGGGAAGAAACGACUCCUACGUGUAGGAGCUUGACGGUACCGUAAGAAUAAGG
rnacentral:rRNA from 1 species